rnacentral:rRNA from 1 species
UACGUAGGGUGCAAGCGUUAAUCGGAAUUACUGGGCGUAAAGGGCGCGUAGGCGGCCUGUUAAGUCGAACGUGAAAUCCCCGGGCUCAACCCGGGAACUGCGUCCGAUACUGGCAGGCUUGAAUCCGGGAGAGGGAUGCGGAAUUCCAGGUGUAGCGGUGAAAUGCGUAGAUAUCUGGAGGAAUACCGGUGGCGAAGGCGGCAUCCUGGACCGGCAUUGACGCUGAGGAGCGAAAGCUAGGGGAGCAAACGGG